CAUGAACUUAUGAAUUCAACAGGUGAAGAUUUACAACUUGAUAAAUCAACUUUGUGAGCUCGAGCUGUAAAAGCCAAAGGUCUGGUGAUGAUCCCAUACCCUUUUUUCCAGUCUCAUGUUGAAGAUUUUUAUGUAGAAGGCCUUCCCAUGCUGGUCACUGCAACCUCUGCCUCCUGGGUUCAAGAAAUUCUCCUGCCUUAGCCUCCCAAGUCGCUGGGAUUAUAGGUGCCCACCACCACACCAGGCUAAUUUUUGUAUUUUUAGUGGAGAUGGGGUUUCACCAUGUUGGCCGGGCCAGUCUCGAACUCCUGAUGUCAAGUGAUCUUCCCGCCUCGACUCCUGACAUCAAGUGAUCUUCCCGCCUCGGCCUCCCAGAGUGCUGA
rnacentral:lncRNA from 1 species